rnacentral:rRNA from 1 species
AUGUCGUGCUUCAGAUUACCAAGGGGUCUCUGUGAAAGUAUCACGUCGAUUAUUCGACAAUCCUGGUGGGGUUCUAAGCAAGGGAAGAGGAAACCUAGCUGGGUAGCAUGGGAUAUCUUAACCAUGCCGAAGCAAUUGGGAGGUUUGGGUUUCCGAGACUUGGAAAUUUUCAACCUUGCAUUGUUAGCAAGGCAGGCACGCACACUCACAGAUGACACAUCUCUCAGCGCUCGAAUCCUCAAGGCAGUGUACUUCCCGGAAUGUUCUCUACUUCAAGCCAAACUUGGAGCACACCCGUCUCAGAUAUGGAGGGCAAUAUUGGAUGGGCGCGAUAUCCUAGCACAAGGUGUGGUGCGCAGAAUAGGAGAUGGUGCAUCGACGGAUAUAUGGCAACACAACUGGAUUCCUCGAGACAGUUUCAAGCGCCCUAUAACAUCUCUGGCGCCAAAUCCUCCUGAGAGAGUGGCACAACUCAUCGACAGUACUUCUGCUUGCUGGAACGAGGGCUUGGUUCGAACGGUGUUCACUCAUUUUUGA